ACUCCUACGGGAGGCAGCAGUGGGGAAUAUUGCACAAUGGGCGGAAGCCUGAUGCAGCGACGCCGCGUGAGGGAUGACGGCCUUCGGGUUGUAAACCUCUUUCAGCUCUGACGAAGCUUUUGUACGGUAGGAGCAGAAGAAGCACCGGCUAACUACGUGCCAGCAGCCGCGGUAAUACGUAGGGUGCGAGCGUUGUCCGGAAUUAUUGGGCGUAAAGAGCUUGUAGGCGGUUUGUCGCGUCUGCUGUGAAAGCCCGGGGCUUAACUCCGGGUCUGCAGUGGGUACGGGCAGGCUAGAGUGUGGUAGGGGAGACUGGAAUUCCUGGUGUAGCGGUGGAAUGCGCAGAUAUCAGGAGGAACACCGAUGGCGAAGGCAGGUCUCUGGGCCAUUACUGACGCUGAGGUGCGAAAGUGUGGGGAGCAAAC
rnacentral:rRNA from 1 species